UGAACCAGCAACUUGGAGGAAUGUACGUAUGUUAUACAUAUAUUAAAUAUUUAAUUAAAGUUCUAGAUAGAUUAGUGAUAAUGACAAUUAUCUAUCUAUAAGUCUUGACCAAAUCUUGUGCCAGCUGUCGCGGCAAGACAAGAAAGACUGCGUUAUUCAUCUUUAAUAGGUUUAAAGGGUACCUAGACGGUAAAUUUUGUCUAUAAAACACAUUUUUACUAGAGUUAAGAGACUGUGAGGAUAGUAUUGGUAUUGUAGAGAUAAAAUAUUUUAAUAGUACCAGGACUGGUAAUGGCGAAAGCAAUCCUUUAGAAUUAACUGACGUUGAGGGACGAAGGCUUUGGUAGCAAACAGGAUUAGAUACCCUAAUAGUCUUAGCAGAAAAUUAUGAAUGCCAUAGUGUGUGUAUCUACUAGUGAACCCGAUAAACCACAGCGGGAUUUAUUGGGUUUAAUUAUAAGGUAGAGUAACAUCUAUAAAUGAAAGUGCAAGCAUUCCACCUCAAGAGUAAUGUGGCAACGCAGAAACUGAAAUCAUUAGGCCGUUUCUGAAACCAGUAGUGAAGUAUGUUAUUUAAUUCGAUAACCCCCGAAAAACCUUACCACAAUUUGAAUAUCUAUACAAGUGUUGCACGGCUGUCUUCAGUUAAUGUCGUGAGAGAGAGAUUUAUAUAUCAUUUAAAUUAACGAAAACCCAUAUUUUAUUUUUUGUAAUAAAAU
rnacentral:rRNA from 1 species